AAAAUGCAUUUCAACAUGAGACAGGGAUACGAAUUGGCCCAAGUGUCGAAUAGAAACUAUCCAUAAAUUAAAGUAUCAAUAAACUGAAGCCAAGUCUAUCACCCAUAAAUGAAGUUAUAACCUAAACACUUCGAUUUCCAAUUCCUCAUAUUCAAAUAUAUCAAUCCACGAAACCGAAUUUCUAACAACAAAAAAAUAGAAUAUUAGACAUAUGUCCUUAAGCACAAACUGAGACUACAAUCACAAUUGCUAAGAGAAUAGGGCAUCACCAUAUUUCAAUCACGACAAUACGAAAGUAACAUCUAAAAUAAUAGAGACAAGGAGAAAAGAUGAACCUGUUUAUUCACCAUUCUUUUAAUAACAAUUGAAGAAUCAAUAGAUACAAUGUUUUUGUCCACAAUUCCAACUAAAAACAACAGUGUUGUCGAGCAAAAACAGCAAGCCAAAUCGACAUCACGAACCUCAGAUAGAUACUCGAAUUGGCACCGAAAUUUCAAAUACAAACACAAACUCAAAAUCAAACUCCAAUCAAAACUCUCUCUUUGGAAAAUGGAAAUUCGAAUCGUAUAGAAGAAACAUUUUUUUUUUUGUUUCUUUGUGAUUUUCUGAAAUUUAAAUUAAACUAAGAUCUGAAAAAUCGGAAGUAAGAAGCAGAACCCUUUCUUUUGUAAACCCUCGCUCUUACUUCUCUUUUGGCAGAGGUGGGAAUAGUAAAGAGAGAUGGUUGGUGGUCUUAGAGAAGGGGGUAAACAACAGCUCCAAGCUGGGUUCGAGGUGAAGGUUGUCUGUUUUUUUGAAGGAGCAGCGAUUGAGAGAUGAAGAAGAAGGAUCGCUCUCCCUCGCUUGGGAGCAGAUCACCCAAUUGUUUUGUGUCCCCCCUAGAUGAUAUCGCCUAGCUACAAUUAAAGAAAGGGGGAGUCGGUCAGGCGGAUUGGGUAUGGUUUUUGGGCUUGGGGU
rnacentral:lncRNA from 1 species